AGACGAUGCUUCAACAGUGGUA
rnacentral:siRNA from 1 species